rnacentral:rRNA from 1 species
AACGGAAAGGCCCUGCUUGCAGGGUACUCGAGUGGCGAACGGGUGAGUAACACGUGGGUGAUCUGCCCUGCACUUCGGGAUAAGCUUGGGAAACUGGGUCUAAUACCGGAUAGGAGCCAUCUUUAGUGUGGUGGUUGGAAAGUUUUUUCGGUGUAGGAUGAGCUCGCGGCCUAUCAGCUUGUUGGUGGGGUAAUGGCCUACCAAGGCGGCGACGGGUAGCUGGCCUGAGAGGGUGGACGGCCACAUUGGGACUGAGAUACGGCCCAGACUCCUACGGGAGGCAGCAGUGGGGAAUAUUGCACAAUGGGCGCAAGCCUGAUGCAGCGACGCCGCGUGGGGGAUGACGGCCUUCGGGUUGUAAACUCCUUUCGCUAGGGACGAAGCUUUUUGUGACGGUACCUAGAUAAGAAGCACCGGCUAACUACGUGCCAGCAGCCGCGGUAAUACGUAGGGUGCGAGCGUUGUCCGGAAUUACUGGGCGUAAAGGGCUCGUAGGUGGUUUGUCGCGUCGUCUGUGAAAUUCCGGGGCUUAACUCCGGGCGUGCAGGCGAUACGGGCAUAACUUGAGUACUGUAGGGGUAACUGGAAUUCCUGGUGUAGCGGUGAAAUGCGCAGAUAUCAGGAGGAACACCGAUGGCGAAGGCAGGUUACUGGGCAGUUACUGACGCUGAGGAGCGAAAGCAUGGGUAGCGAACAGGAUUAGAUACCCUGGU